UAAUGACUCUCGGCAACGGAUAUCUCGGCUCUCGCAACGAUGAAGAACGUAGCAAAAUGCGAUACGUGGUGUGAAUUGCAGAAUUCCGUGAACCAUCGAGUUUUUGAACGCAAGUUGCGCCCGAAGCCAUUCGGUCGAGGGCACGCCUGCCUGGGCGUCACAC
rnacentral:rRNA from 1 species